AGCAAUGGGGCGAAAGCCAGACGAAGCAAUACCGCGUGAGGGAUGACGGCCUAUGGGUUGUAAACCUCUUUUUUCAGGGAGGAAUAAAUGACGUGUACCUGAAGAAUAAGCAUCGGCUAACUCCGUGCCAGCAGCCGCGGUAAGACGGAGGAUGCAAGUGUUAUCCGGAAUCACUGGGCGUAAAGCGUCUGUAGGUCGUUCAAUAAGUCAACUGUUAAAUCUUGAGGCUCAACUUCAAAAUCGCAGUCGAAACUAUUAAACUAGAGUAUAGUAGGGGUAAAGGGAAUUUCCAGUGGAGCGGUGAAAUGCGUAGAGAUUGUAAUUAACUGCAAUGGCGAAAGCACUUUACUGGGCUGUUCCUCUCUUUUACGACGAAAGCUA
rnacentral:rRNA from 1 species